rnacentral:rRNA from 1 species
GUCCACGCCCUAAACGAUGAUUACUCGACAUCAGCGAUACACUGUUGGUGUCUGAGCGAAAGCAUUAAGUAAUCCACCUGGGAAGUACGACCGCAAGGUUGAAACUCAAAGGAAUUGACGGGGGUCGCACAAGCGGUGGAGCAUGUGGUUUAAUUCGAUGAUACGCGAGGAACCUUACCUGGGCUAGAAUGUCACGUGACCGGAGGUGAAAGCUUUCUUUAUAGCAAUAUACACGUGAUAAGGUGCUGCAUGGCUGUCGU